UGAAUGGGCGUUCUUUCAGCCUCUGUUCUAA
rnacentral:piRNA from 1 species